GUAACAGGCCUUCGGGCGCUGACGAGUGGCGAACGGGUGAGUAAUGCAUCGGAACGUGCCCGGUCGUGGGGGAUAACACUUCGAAAGAAGUGCUAAUACCGCAUACGAUCUGAGGAUGAAAGCGGGGGACCUUCGGGCCUCGCGCGAUCGGAGCGGCCGAUGUCAGAUUAGGUAGUUGGUGGGAUAAAAGCUUACCAAGCCAACGAUCUGUAGCUGGUCUGAGAGGACGACCAGCCACACUGGGACUGAGACACGGCCCAGACUCCUACGGGAGGCAGCAGUGGGGAAUUUUGGACAAUGGGCGCAAGCCUGAUCCAGCAAUGCCGCGCGCAGGAAGAAGGCCUUCGGGUUGUAAACUGCUUUUGUACGGAACGAAAAGGCUCUGGCUAAUACCUGGAGCUCAUGACGGUACCGUAAGAAUAAGCACCGGCUAACUACGUGCCAGCAGCCGCGGUAAUACGUAGGGUGCGAGCGUUAAUCGGAAUUACUGGGCGUAAAGCGUGCGCAGGCGGUGCUGUAAGACAGGCGUGAAAUCCCCGGGCUCAACCUGGGAAUUGCGCUUGUGACUGCAGCGCUGGAGUGCGGCAGAGGGGGAUGGAAUUCCGCGUGUAGCAGUGAAAUGCGUAGAUAUGCGGAGGAACACCGAUGGCGAAGGCAAUCCCCUGGGCCUGCACUGACGCUCAUGC
rnacentral:rRNA from 1 species